GACGAACGCUGGCGGCGUGCUUAAUACAUGCAAGUCGAACGGAAAGGCCCUGCUUUUGUGGGGUGCUCGAGUGGCGAACGGGUGAGUAACACGUGAGUAACCUGCCCUUGACUUUGGGAUAACUUCAGGAAACUGGGGCUAAUACCGGAUAGGAGCUCCUGCUGCAUGGUGGGGGUUGGAAAGUUUCGGCGGGUGGGGAUGGACUCGCGGCUUAUCAGCUUGUUGGUGGGGUAGUGGCUUACCAAGGCUUUGACGGGUAGCCGGCCUGAGAGGGUGACCGGCCACCUUGGGACUGAGAUACGGCCCAGAGUCCUACGGGAGGCAGCAGUGGGGAAUAUUGCACAAUGGGCGGAAGCCUGAUGCAGCAACGCCGCGUGCGGGAUGACGGCCUUCGGGUUGUAAACCGCUUCCGCCUGUGACGAAGCGUGAGUGACGGUAAUGGGUAAAGAAGCACCGGCUAACUACGUG
rnacentral:rRNA from 1 species